AUACUUACCUGCAGGGGAGGUGGUUUCCCAGGGCGAGGCUCACCCACUGCAUUCCAGCUGUGCUGACCCCUGCGAUUUCCCCAAAUGCGGGGAAACUCAACUGCAUGAUUUGUGGUAUUGGAGUGCUGCGUUCACGCUCUCCCCUU
rnacentral:snRNA from 1 species